AUUUUUGUUUUAUUUUAGUCAACUUUAUGAAUCAAUAUAAGAUGAGUCGUACAUCAAGCAACCUAAAUAGGUAACACAGGAAAAAUACCUAGCAAAUCAAAAGGUACAAUUCAACAUGCAGAGAAGCAAGCAGGAACAAAUUCCAAACAAAUCGAAUGAUAAUAAUUCAUUCUUUCAUUUUCAUGAUCAACAGACCUUAUUUUUGUCGUAUAAUUUGUCCAAAGAACAAAGAAAACUAUCUCGUCUCCUUAAAACUCUCACAACGACGUGCUCACAUACAAAACCUGGUGUCAAGGACCGUAGCUUUACUUAGCCCCUUGAUACUAUUGCAGCCACAGUUUGCCCAACUUCGGUCGCACAUUGUAAAUAUUACUUCAAGUUUGAAUUGUAAUUUUCUUUUCAUUCUAAUAGUUAUUUCAGUUGUAAAAUAGCUCUGAUGUUAGUAAACGUUUAGUAUAAUUUCUCUUUUUUAAACAUCUACUCCUGUCAAUUAGGUUUUUGUUCCAAAUGCUAUUAUAGGGGGGUAUUAGUCAUUCAAAAAAUUUUCAAGCUCACUGGUAUCCGCCCCCUACACCAGCAAUUGUAAUUUGCUGCUUUCGUCAAUUGUAAUGUUCAGUUUUCAUCGAUCA
rnacentral:lncRNA from 1 species